rnacentral:pre_miRNA from 1 species
AGGACGGGAGGAGAGUAGGGCGUGGUCUUAUCCAACUUCCUCACUCCUCUCCUCCUGUCUUUU